rnacentral:rRNA from 1 species
UAAAGUGGCGCACGGGUGAGUAACGCGUGGAUAAUCUGCCUUCAAGUAGGGAAUAACAUUGCGAAAGCGAUGCUAAUACCGUAUAAGCUCACGAUUUGAUUGGUUGUGGGAAAAGAUGGCCUCUGUAUAUGCUAUCGCUUGAAGAUGAGUCCGCAUACCAUUAGCUUGUUGGUAGGGUAAUGGCCUACCAAGGCUUCGAUGGUUAGCUGGCCUGAGAGGGCGGCCAGCCACACUGGAACUGAGACACGGUCCAGACUCCUACGGGAGGCAGCAGUGGGGAAUAUUGCGCAAUGGGGGAAACCCUGACGCAGCGACGCCGUGUGAGUGAUGAAGGUUUUCGGAUCGUAAAGCUCUGUCGGGUGGGAAGAAUAAGGGCUGUGUAAAUAAUGCAGUCUGAUGACGGUACCACCAAAGGAAGCACCGGCUAACUCCGUGCCAGCAGCCGCGGUAAUACGGAGGGUGCAAGCGUUGUUCGGAAUUAUUUGGGCGUAAAGGGCGUGUAGGCCGGGUAU